GGGGAUGUAGCUCAGUGGGCACAGCACCUGCCUGGCAAGCAGAAGGUCUUAGGUUUGAUCCCCAGUACCACCA
rnacentral:tRNA from 1 species